rnacentral:misc_RNA from 1 species
AUUGAAUAUUGCCUCCUGUUUCGUAGGUGAGUUAUAGGGGUGGCAUACAAGUGCUUGAUCUUCAUAUGGAUUAAGACGUUCACAUUCGUCGACUUCAAUCUAAUUUCAUAAAUAUUUUCAAUCCUGUUUAAUUUUGUUUUUUGUUUGUUUGUAUUUUGUUGUUUUAUUUUAAAACUUCAAACUGUCCAAAUCGUUCAGUAAAAGUGUCAAGACGGCAAUUAGUGAUGAAAAAAGUGCAUUCGGUAAUGAGUUUUACAUUUAACAGAAAAACAACCUUUUUUAAAAAUCCCCAAAUCAAAUGUCUUCUAUCCAUAAGGCUGUUUUUAUAUUCAUUCUCAUUUUAACUCUGACAUAUGCAAAAUGUGCGCAUUUUGAAUUGUAAAUCACCAUAUAUUAAUAUAUCGUCUAAUUU